AGUGAACGCUGGCGGUAGGCCUAACACAUGCAAGUCGAACGGCAGCACAGUAAGAGCUUGCUCUUACGGGUGGCGAGUGGCGGACGGGUGAGGAAUACAUCGGAAUCUACUUUUUCGUGGGGGAUAACGUAGGGAAACUUACGCUAAUACCGCAUACGACCUACGGGUGAAAGCAGGGGAUCUUCGGACCUUGCGCGAUUGAAUGAGCCGAUGUCGGAUUAGUUAGUUGGCGGGGUAAAGGCCCACCAAGGCGACGAUCCGUAGCUGGUCUGAGAGGAUGAUCAGCCACACUGGAACUGAGACACGGUCCAGACUCCUACGGGAGGCAGCAGUGGGGAAUAUUGGACAAUGGGCGCAAGCCUGAUCCAGCCAUACCGCGUGGGUGAAGAAGGCCUUCGGGUUGUAAAGCCCUUUUGUCGGGAAAGAAAAGCAGCAGGUUAAUACCCCGCUGUUCUGACGGUACCCAAAGAAUAAGCACCGGCUAACUUCGUG
rnacentral:rRNA from 1 species